rnacentral:snRNA from 2 species
AUACCUUUCUCGGCCUUUUGGCUAAGAUCAAGUGUAGUAUCUGUUCUUAUCAGUUUAAUAUCUGAUAUGUGGGUCAUGUGCCCACAACGAUAUUAAAUUUAUUUUUUGUGGGGGAGGGUCCACCACACUAGCUUGCUAGUGGGGCCUUCAUGUGUCGUUUGGGCAUUGCACUAUUGCCAGGCAGGCGCACCCCAA